AGCCGCGUCCGCGGAUAUGGACUACUUGGAGACAUAUGUUGUUCAUAGAUAACUUCAAUGGCUACUCAUAAAAUUGUCAAGAUAAGCGUGAGUGUCGUGGACGGCAUUUCCGUAUGGAGACGGAAUGAUUCCACGAUGGAGUAUUGUUGUGGUGUUAGUGGACUCAUGUGCGAGAAAUCAAGUUGUCAAAAUUAUUUAAAAAUGCAAGUUGUCUAGCCACGAGUCAAAUGCUGGCUUUCCGCAUGAAACCCCACAAUACCUU
rnacentral:lncRNA from 1 species